rnacentral:rRNA from 1 species
UACGUAGGGUGCGAGCGUUAAUCGGAAUUACUGGGCGUAAAGCGUGCGCAGGCGGUUCGCUGUGUCCGAUGUGAAAGCCCCGGGCUUAACCUGGGAAUGCAUUGGAAACUGGCGGGCUUGAGUGUGGCAGAGGGGGGUGGAAUUCCGCGUGUAGCAGUGAAAUGCGUAGAGAUGCGGAGGAACACCGAUGGCGAAGGCAGCCCCCUGGGCUAACACUGACGCUCAGGCACGAAAGCGUGGGGAGCAAACAGG